rnacentral:tRNA from 1 species
GUCCGGAUGGUGUAGUGGUUAUCACACGCGUCUCACACACGCGAGGUCGCCAGUUCAAACCUGGCUUCGGACA